rnacentral:rRNA from 1 species
GAAAGCCUGACGGAGCAAUACCGCGUGAGGGAGGAAGGCUCUUGGGUCGUAAACCUCUUUUCUCAGGGAAGAACAAAAUGACGGUACCUGAGGAAUAAGCAUCGGCUAACCUCCGUGCCAGCAGCCGCGGUAAUACGGAGGAUGCAAGCGUUAUCCGGAAUGAUUGGGCGUAAAGCGUCCGCAGGUGGCAAUGUAAGUCUGCUGUUAAAGAGUCUAGCUCAACUAGAUAAGAGCAGUGGAAACUACAUAGCUAGAGUACGUUCGGGGCAGAGGGAAUUCCUGGUGUAGCGGUGAAAUGCGUAGAGAUCAGGAAGAACACCGGUGGCGAAGGCGCUCUGCUAGGCCGUAACUGACACUGAGGGACGAAAGCUAG